AGUAAGAGUAGAUCUUGAAACCUAAAGGAUUUGGCGGUUUUUUAGUCUAGUUAGAGGAAUCUGCCCUAUUAUCGAUGGUCCGCGGGAGAUUUUACUUCUUUUUUAAAUAUCGCCGUCGAAGACAGGUCAAGAUUUAGCUUAUAGGGGAGGUUGAAAUAGGAUUUAAUAGUUUAUAAUGUUAACUUGAGCUCUAAGGAAUGU
rnacentral:rRNA from 1 species